rnacentral:rRNA from 1 species
CGGGGGGAGCAAGCGUUGUUCGGAUUUACUGGGCGUAAAGGGCGCGUAGGCGGCCACCGCAAGUCGACUGUGAAAUCUCCGGGCUUAACUCGGAAAGGUCAGCCGAUACUGCGGGGCUAGAGUGCAGAAGGGGCAACUGGAAUUCUCGGUGUAGCGGUGAAAUGCGUAGAUAUCGAGAGGAACACCUGCGGCGAAGGCGGGUUGCUGGGCUGACACUGACGCUGAGGCGCGAAAGCUAGGGGAGCGAACGGGAUUAGAUACCCCGGUAGUCCUAGCCUUAAACGAUGAAUGCUUGGUGUCUGGGGUUUUAUAGUCCCCGGGUGCCGUCGCCAACGCUUUAAGCAUUCCGCCUGGGGAGUACGGUCGCAAGACUG